rnacentral:piRNA from 1 species
UUUGAUGCAUGCAUUAAAUUUGCCAAGGGA